rnacentral:rRNA from 1 species
UUGUUCGUUAAGCAUGCAAGUCGAGCGGCAAGCGCAGCAAUGCGCCUAGAGCGGCGGACUGGUGAGUAACGCGUGGAUGAUCUGCCCUUGGGAUGGGGAUAGCCAUUAGAAAUAGUGGGUAAUACCGAAUACGCUCGCAUGAUUGCGGUCAUGUGAGGAAAGGCGCUACGGCGCGGCCCGAGGAUGAGUCUGCGUCCCAUUAGCUAGUUGGUGAGGUAAUGGCCCACCAAGGCGAUGAUGGGUAGCCGGCCUGAGAGGGUGUACGGCCACACUGGGACUGAGAUACGGCCCAGACUCCUACGGGAGGCAGCAGCUAAGAAUAUUCCGCAAUGGACGAAAGUCUGACGGAGCGACGCCGCGUGGAUGAAGAAGGCCGAAAGGUUGUAAAGUUCUUUUGUCGGGGAAGAAUAAGCCUGGGAGGGAAUGCCCGGGUGAUGACAUGAACCGGCGAAUAAGCCCCGGCUAACUACGUGCCAGCAGCCGCGGUAACACGUAGGGGGCGAGCGUUGUUCGGAAUUACUGGGCGUAAAGGGCAUGUAGGCGGCUUGGCAAGCCUGGCGUGAAAGUCCACGGCUCAACCGUGGGAUUGCGUUGGGAACUGCAGAGCUCGAGUUACGGAGAGGAAGCUAGAAUUCCUGGUGUAGGGGUGAAAUCUGUAGAUAUCAGGAAGAAUACCAAUGGCGAAGGCAAGCUUCUGGCCGAUGACUGACGCUGAGGUGCGAAAGUGUGGGGAUCAAACAGGAUUAGAUACCCUGGUAGUCCACACGGUAAACGAUGUGCACUAGGUGCUGGGGCGGAUGCUUCAGUGCCGGAGCUAACGCGGUAAGUGCACCGCCUGGGGAGUAUGCUCGCAAGGGUG